rnacentral:rRNA from 3 species
CAAGGCGACGAUCCCUAGCUGGUCUGAGAGGAUGACCAGCCACACUGGAACUGAGACACGGUCCAGACUCCUACGGGAGGCAGCAGUGGGGAAUAUUGCACAAUGGGCGCAAGCCUGAUGCAGCCAUGCCGCGUGUAUGAAGAAGGCCUUCGGGUUGUAAAGUACUUUCAGCGGGGAGGAAGGUGUUGUGGUUAAUAACCGCAGCAAUUGACGUUACCCGCAGAAGAAGCACCGGCUAACUCCGUGCCAGCAGCCGCGGUAAUACGGAGGGUGCAAGCGUUAAUCGGAAUUACUGGGCGUAAAGCGCACGCAGGCGGUCUGUCAAGUCGGAUGUGAAAUCCCCGGGCUCAACCUGGGAACUGCAUUCGAAAC